AAUGAACGCUGGCGGCGUGCCUAACACAUGCAAGUCGAACGAGAAAGCCUGGCUUGCCAGGCAAGUAAAGUGGCGCACGGGUGAGUAACGCGUGGGUAAUCUACCUUUGUCUGGGGGAUAACCUACCGAAAGGUGGGCUAAUACCGCAUAACGUGGUCGGGUUGUGACCUGAUCACCAAAGAUGGCCUCUCCAUGGAAGCUAUCAGGUAAAGAUGAGCCCGCGUCCCAUUAGCUAGUUGGUAAGGUAAUGGCUUACCAAGGCUACGAUGGGUAGCUGGUCUGAGAGGAUGGCCAGCCACACUGGAACUGGAACACGGUCCAGACUCCUACGGGAGGCUG
rnacentral:rRNA from 1 species